rnacentral:rRNA from 1 species
AUACGGAGGGUGCAAGCGUUAUCCGGAAUCAUUGGGUUUAAAGGGUCCGUAGGCGGGCUAUUAAGUCAGAGGUGAAAUCCCACAGCUCAACUGUGGAACUGCCUUUGAUACUGAUAGUCUUGAGUUACAGUGAAGUAGAUAGAAUAUGUAGUGUAGCGGUGAAAUGCAUAGAUAUUACAUAGAAUACCGAUUGCGAAGGCAGUCUACGAACUGUAUACUGACGCUGAUGGGCGAAAGCGUGGGGAGCGAACAGGAUUAGAAACCCCAGUAGUCC